rnacentral:rRNA from 1 species
AUUGAACGCUGGCGGCAGGCUUAACACAUGCAUGUCGAGCGGGGAAGAGUAGCUUGCUACUUUACCUAGCGGCGGACGGGUGAGUAAUGCUUAGGAAUCUGCCUAUUAGUGGGGGACAACAUCUCGAAAGGGAUGCUAAUACCGCAUACGUCCUACGGGAGAAAGCAGGGGACCUUCGGGCCUUGCGCUAAUAGAUGAGCCUAAGUCGGAUUAGCUAGUUGGUGGGGUAAAGGCCUACCAAGGCGACGAUCUGUAGCGGGUCUGAGAGGAUGAUCCGCCACACUGGUGACUGAGACACGGUCCCAGACUCCUACGGGAGGCAGCAGUGGGGAAUAUUGGACAAUGGGGGGAACCCUGAUCCAGCCAUGCCGCGUGUGUGAAGAAGGCCUUUUGGUUGUAAAGCACUUUAAGCGAGGAGGAGGCUACCGAGAUUAAUACUCUUGGAUAGUGGACGUUACUCGCAGAAUAAGCACCGGCUAACUCUGUGCCAGCAGCCGCGGUAAUACAGAGGGUGCAAGCGUUAAUCGGAUUUACUGGGCGUAAAGCGCGCGUAGGUGGCCAAUUAAGUCAAAUGUGAAAUCCCCGAGCUUAACUUGGGAAUUGCAUUCNAUACUGGUUGGCUANAGUAUGGGAGAGGAUGGUAGAAUUCCAGGUGUAGCGGUGAAAUGCGUAGAGAUCUGGAGGAAUACCGAUGGCGAAGGCAGCCAUCUGGCCUAAUACUGACACUGAGGUGCGAAAGCAUGGGGAGCAAACAGGAUUAGAUACCCUGGUAGUCCAUGCCGUAAACGAUGUCUACUAGCCGUUGGGGCCUUUGAGGCUUUAGUGGCGCAGCUAACGCGAUAAGUAGACCGCCUGGGGAGUACGGUCGCAAGACUAAAACUCAAAUGAAUUGACGGGGGCCCGCACAAGCGGUGGAGCAUGUGGUUUAAUUCGAUGCAACGCGAAGAACCUUACCUGGUCUUGACAUAGUAAGAACUUUCCAGAGAUGGAUUGGUGCCUUCGGGAACUUACAUACAGGUGCUGCAUGGCUGUCGUCAGCUCGUGUCGUGAGAUGUUGGGUUAAGUCCCGCAACGAGCGCAACCCUUUUCCUUAUUUGCCA